AGAGUUUGAUCCUGGCUCAGGACGAACGCUGGCGGCGUGCUUAACACAUGCAAGUCGAGCGAGGCCCAUCUUCGGGUGGUGCCCUAGCGGCGAACGGGUGAGUAACACGUGGGCAACCUGCCCUCAGCUCUGGGAUAACUCCAAGAAAUUGGUGCUAAUACCGGAUGUGACCGCUGACCGCAUGGUCUGGUGGUGGAAAGAUUCAUCGGCUGAGGAUGGGCCCGCGGCCUAUCAGCUUGUUGGUGGGGUAAUGGCCCACCAAGGCGACGACGGGUAGCCGGCCUGAGAGGGUGACCGGCCACACUGGGACUGAGACACGGCCCAGACUCCUACGGGAGGCAGCAGUGGGGAAUAUUGCGCAAUGGGCGAAAGCCUGACGCAGCGACGCCGCGUGAGGGAUGACGGCCUUCGGGUUGUAAACCUCUUUCAGUAGGGACGAAGCGAAAGUGACGGUACCUACAGAAGAAGCACCGGCCAACUACGUGCCAGCAGCCGCGGUAAUACGUAGGGUGCAAGCGUUGUCCGGAAUUAUUGGGCGUAAAGAGCUCGUAGGCGGUCUGUCACGUCGGCUGUGAAAACCCGAGGCUCAACCUCGGGCCUGCAGUCGAUACGGGCAAACUAGAGUACUGCAGGGGAGACUGGAAUUCCUGGUGUAGCGGUGAAAUGCGCAGAUAUCAGGAGGAACACCGGUGGCGAGGGCGGGUCUCUGGGCAGUAACUGACGCUGAGGAGCGAAAGCGUGGGGAGCGAACAGGAUUAGAUACCCUAGUAGUCC
rnacentral:rRNA from 1 species